rnacentral:tRNA from 1 species
UAAGUGAAAGCCAAAAAGAGGCAUUUAACUGUUAAUUAAAUCAUUACUAUAUAUAAUAGUUCACUUAA